GGGUAAAACCCCAUGGAGGACCGAACGCACGCCCGUUGCAAUGGUCGGCGAUGACCUGUGGAUAGCGGUGAAAUUCCAAUCGAACUCGGAGAUAGCUGGUUCUCCCCGAAAUAGCUUUAGGGCUAGCGUUGGCUUAGAUUACCGGAGGUAAAGCACUGAAUGGGCUAGGGGCCGAUAAGGUUACUGAACCCUAUCAAACUCUGAAUGCCGGAUAAUUGAUGGCCAGCAGUCAGUCUACGUGAGAUAAGUCUCGUGGACAAAAGGGAAACAGCCCAGACCCACAGCUAAGGUCCCAAAGAUACGCUAAGUGGAAAACGAUGUGGAGUUGCGAAAACAACCAGGAUGUUGGCUUAGAAGCA
rnacentral:rRNA from 1 species